AGGGCACCACCAGGAGUGGAGCCUGCGGCUUAAUUUGACUCAACACGGGGAAACUCACCUGGCCCGGACACCGUGAGGAUUGACAGAUUGAGAGCUCUUUCUUGAUUCGGUGGUUGGUGGUGCAUGGCCGUUCUUAGUUGGUGGAGUGAUUUGUCUGGUUUAUUCCGAUAACGAGCGAGACUCUAGCCUACUAAAUAGUUACUGGAUAAUUGCGUCCAGAAGACUUCUUAGAGGGACAAGCGGUGUUCAGCCGCACGAAGCUGAGCAAUAACAGGUCUGUGAUGCCCUUAGAUGUCCAGGGCUGCACGCGCGCUACACUGGAGGAAUCAGCGUGCUGUAACCAUUGCCGAAAGGCAUUGGUAACCCCUUGAAAAUCCUCCGUGAUCGGGAUCGGGAAUUGCAAUUAUUUCCCUUGAACGAGGAAUUCCUAGUAAGUGUGAGUCAUCAGCUCACGUUGAUUACGUCCCUGCCCUUUGUACACACCGCCCGUCGCUGCCCGGGACUGAGCCGUUUCGAGAA
rnacentral:rRNA from 1 species